rnacentral:antisense_RNA from 1 species
CUUGAUGGUGGCUGUGCGCAGGGCGCCUUCGGGCGCGCCGGCUUUGGGUGUUCACCGGUCUACUAACCUGCGUGCAGCCGCCACCCUA